AAUAAGUGCAGUCGUGGAUAUCCGUGUCCAACGUUUGACCGUCCGUCUUAUUUGAAAAUUUUAAAAAUAUUUAGUCACACAUAAAGUACUAUUCAUGUUUUAUCAUCUAAUAGUAAUAAAAAUACUAAUCAUAAAAAAAUUUCAAAUAAGACGAACGGUCAAACGUUAAACGUGAAUAGUGUAAAACUGCACUUAUU
rnacentral:pre_miRNA from 1 species